GCGAACGCUGGCGGCAGGCCUAACACAUGCAAGUCGCACGAACUCUUCGGAGUUAGUGGCGGACGGGUGAGAAACACGUGGGAACGUGCCUUUUGGUUCGGAAUAACUCAGGGAAACUUGUGCUAAUACCGAAUGUGCCCUUCGGGGGAAAGAUUUAUCGCCAUUAGAGCGGCCCGCGUCUGAUUAGCUAGUUGGUGAGGUAACGGCUCACCAAGGCGACGAUCAGUAGCUGGUCUGAGAGGAUGACCAGCCACACUGGGACUGAGACACGGCCCAGACUCCUACGGGAGGCAGCAGUGGGGAAUCUUGCGCAAUGGGCGAAAGCCUGACGCAGCCAUGCCGCGUGAAUGAUGAAGGUCUUAGGAUUGUAAAAUUCUUUCACCGGGGACGAUAAUGACGGUACCCGGAGAAGAAGCCCCGGCUAACUUCGUG
rnacentral:rRNA from 1 species